rnacentral:rRNA from 1 species
AACGAACGCUGGCGGCAUGCCUAACACAUGCAAGUCGAACGAGACCUUCGGGUCUAGUGGCGCACGGGUGCGUAACGCGUGGGAGCCUGCCCUUAGGUUCGGAAUAACUCCCCGAAAGGGGUGCUAAUACCGGAUAAUGUCUUCGGACCAAAGAUUUAUCGCCUUUGGAUGGGCCCGCGUUGGAUUAGCUAGUUGGUAGGGUAAAAGCCUACCAAGGCGACGAUCCAUAGCUGGUCUGAGAGGAUGAUCAGCCACACUGGGACUGAGACACGGCCCAGACUCCUACGGGAAGCAGCAGUGGGGAAUAUUGGACAAUGGGCGAAAGCCUGAUCCAGCAAUGCCGCGUGAGUGAUGAAGGCCUUAGGGUUGUAAAGCUCUUUUACCCGGGAUGAUAAUGACAGUACCGGGAGAAUAAGCUCCGGCUAACUCCGUG